rnacentral:misc_RNA from 1 species
GAUGAAGAACGUAGCGAAAUGCGAUAAGUAAUGUGAAUUGCAGAAUUCAGUGAAUCAUCGAAUCUUUGAACGCACAUUGCGCCCGCCAGUAUUCUGGCGGGCAUGCCUGUUCGAGCGUCAUUUCAACCAUCAAGCCCCCGGCUUGUGUUGGGGACCUGCGGCUGCCCGCAGGCCCUGAAAACCAGUGGCGGGCUCGCUGUCACUCCGAGCGUAGUAGCAUAUAUCUCGCGCAGGGCGUGCUGCGGGUUCCGGCCGUUAAAAGCCUUUUUUUACCCAAGGUUGACCUCGGAUCAGGUAGGAAGACCCGCUGAACUUAAGCAUAUCAAUAAGCGGAGGA